AUUUCUCUUUCUCAAUGGAUUUCAGUUAUUCAAUUUCAUGAAAUUGUGGAAGUGUAUAUUGCUGAUUUGGGCAAAGACAUAAAUUUGGGGAUCUACAAGAGAUUUUCUUUGAUCCAAGAUUUUAGUUCUUUUUAUUAGGAGCCUUGACCUUGAAACAUUAUCUAUUAAAUAUGUGGCCCUAACAGCGGAGAUAUUUUUUUUUGCAGCUUAAGGCUAGAGGGAAGUAGAUGGAGUUAUGCAAAGGCUUACAGAGAUACAAACUAGCAGGAUAUUGGCUAUACGCUGAUCAAUACAUGUUUCCUUAUGGAACGGUCUUGCCACCACCAUGGGCCAAGAGUUGUUGGAUGUUCUUGACAGCGAUCCGAUUAUGGCAAUCAAAUCUCUAAAGGUUGGAGACCUCCAAGGAGCACCUUUGUCAUCUCUAGAAAAGAGCAUUGUAGUGAUCACAAAUUGAUGCGGAACUUUUAA